rnacentral:misc_RNA from 1 species
AUCAUUUAGAGGAAGGAGAAAUCAUAACAAGGUUUCCGUAGGUGAACCUGUGGAAGGAUCAUUGUCGAUGCCUCUGCAUAGCAGAAUGACCUGUGAACUUGUCAUUAUCGCGGGGGAAGCAGGAGGUGGGUCAUUGGCUCCCUCCUGCUUCUCGUUAGGAGUGCGCUUGGAGCCCUUCCGGGGGCAACGGGUGCCAUUCCUCGGCAAACCAACAAACCCCGGUGCGAAUUGCACCAAGGAACUUGAACAUAGAGAGCAAGCUCGGUGCAUCUCACAAAAAAACUAAACGACUCUCGGCAAUAGAUAUCUCAACUCUCGCAUUGAUGAAGAACGUAGCGAAGCACGAUACUUGGUGUGAAUUACAGAAUCUCGUGAACCAUCAAGUCUUUGAACGCAAGUUGCGCCCGAAGCUAUUAGGUUAAGGGCAUGUCUGCCUGGGCAUCUCAUGUUGCGUCGCCCCUGCCCCCGAAGGGUUGCGAGUGGAUGUUGGUCCCCUACGCGUGGUUGUCCUAAAAAUGAGUCCCCUGCGGCGGACGACGUGUCACGACGAGUGGUGGUUGACAAACCGUUGCAUCGUGUUGCAUGCAUCCUAGCUGUCUCGGGAGGUCUGUUGUGACCCUGUUGCGCCACUGCCACGGUGCUCCAAUCGCGACCCCAGGUCA